rnacentral:tRNA from 1 species
AGCAGUGGAGUUUAGUGGAAAGAGCCUGGUCUUGGGAGUCAGAGGUCAUGAGUUUGAAUCUCAGCUCUGCCA